rnacentral:rRNA from 1 species
GAUGAACGCUGGCGGCGUGCCUAAUACAUGCAAGUCGAGCGAACGGACGAGAAGCUUGCUUCUCUGAUGUUAGCGGCGGACGGGUGAGUAACACGUGGAUAACCUACCUAUAAGACUGGGAUAACUUCGGGAAACCGGAGCUAAUACCGGAUGAUAUUUUGAACCGCAUGGUUCAAAAGUGAAAGACGGUCUUGCUGUCACUUAUAGAUGGAUCCGCGCUGCAUUAGCUAGUUGGUAAGGUAACGGCUUACCAAGGCAACGAUGCAUAGCCGACCUGAGAGGGUGAUCGGCCACACUGGGACUGAGACACGGUCCAGACUCCUCCGGGAGGCAGCAGUAGGGAAUCUUCCGCAAUGGGCGAAAGCCUGACGGAGCAACGCCGCGUGAGUGAUGAAGGUCUUCGGAUCGUAAAACUCUGUUAUUAGGGAAGAACAUAUGUGUAAGUAACUGUGCACAUCUUGACGGUACCUAAUCAGAAAGCCACGGCUAACUACGUG